CCAUGUGAAGAUGAAGGUAGAAAUCAGGGUGAUGCAUAUUUAAACCAAGGAACUCCAAAGAUUGCCAGCAAACCACCAGAAGCCAGGGGAGAGACCAGGAACAGGUUCUUCCUCCCAGCCUUCAGAAGAAACCAGCCCUGCUGACACCUUGAUCUCAGGCUCCGGCCUCCAGAACUGUGAGACAAUACGUUUCUGUUCUUCAAGGCAUGCAGUUUGGGGCACUUUGUUACAGAAGCCCUAGGAAACUAAUGCAGAUGCUAAGUACAAUACAUUUAAUUUAAAAUUUUUUCAAUUUGUAUCUGCAAUGAUUGAUACAAGCUGAAAUUUCAUGAAUGCUGAGAAGAAAAUUCCAGAUUUUGAAAAAGAGAUGACUAUUGGAGGAACUUUUCCAUAGUAAGCAUCUGAAAAGGUUUGCAGUGAUUCUGAAGAGAGUGGGUGACAGUGUGAAGGCCCCUGCUUUUGGAUGCUGCCGUCGCCACCUAUCCUUUUGGG